rnacentral:misc_RNA from 1 species
AAAGUCGUAACAAGGUUUCCGUAGGUGAACCUGCGGAAGGAUCAUUACAUAGAAUCUAGGCCCUAAGCUGUAGGAAUACUGCCCAUGGGCUUCUUCUAUUACCCUUGGUUUUUGAGUACUUGUGUUUCCUUGGUGGGCUUGCCCGCCAAUAGGACAAACUAUUAAACCUUUUUAAUUUUCAAUCAGCGUCUGAACAAAUGUAAUAAUUACAACUUUCAACAACGGAUCUCUUGGUUCUG